CUAUUGCAAACAGUGGACUCCCAAGAGCAGAGGAUUUUCACCUCUGGCCAUUCAUUCUCUUCUGGUUAGAAACAGUCUGAUGAUCUGUCUAGACCUAUUUGCUGCCAGAGACCAACACUUCAUUACACCUGCUGCCAUAUGAUUCCAGGCUCUGUGGACUGAUCUGUGGGGAAGAAUGGCAGCGAGGAACCAGCACAGGACCCUUGGGUAACAUUUCAAGAGAGAGGUGCGGCUGAAGAUAUUUGUGCAUCAGAAGGAGAGAGGAAUCAGCCUUCCCCA